UACGUAAGUGGCAAGCGUUAUCCGGAAUUACUGGGCAUAAAGAGUUCGUAGGCGGUUAAACAAGCCAAUAGUGAAAUCCACCAGCCUAACUGGUGUCAGCUAA
rnacentral:rRNA from 1 species